rnacentral:rRNA from 1 species
UACAGAGGGUGCGAGCGUUUGUCCGGAAUCACUGGGCGUAAAGGGCGCGUAGGUGGUUUGGUAAGUGUAUGGUGAAAGCCCGGGGCUCAACCCCGGGUCUGCCACGCAAACUGCUAAAACUUGAGCAUACUAGAGGCAGGUUGAAUUCCGGGUGUAGCGGUGGAAUGCGUAGAGAUCCGGAAGAACACCAGUGGCGAAGGCGGCCUGCUGGGGGUAGUGCUGACACUGAGGCGCGACAGCGUGGGGAGCAAACAGGG